rnacentral:rRNA from 1 species
AUUAAGCUUCUACACCUAAUUUUUUUCUUAAUCCAACAUCGAGGUCGCAAUCUAUUUUAUCAAUAUGAACUCUCCAAAAUAAUUACGCUGUUAUCCCUAAAGUAACUUAUUUUAUUAUCAAUAAUAAUUAUUCAUUUAUUCAUAAAUCAAUGUUAUAAAUUAAUAAAAGUUUAUUAUAUUUUAUUAUCACCCCAAUAAAAUAUAUUUAAUAAAUAAUUAUAAAAUUACUUUAUUUUUAUAUUUAAUAAAUAUAUAAAGAUUUAUAGGGUCUUCUCGUCUUUUAAAUAUAUUUAAGCUUUUUUACUUAAAAAUAAAAUUCUAUUAAUUUUAAAAAAAAAACAGUUUAUAUCUCAUCCAACCAUUCAUUCUAGUUUUCAAUUAAAAAACUAAUUAUUAUGC